UACGUAGGGUGCGAGCGUUAAUCGGAAUUACUGGGCGUAAAGUGUGCGCAGGCGGCCGAGCAAGUCGGAUGUGAAAGCCCUGGGCUCAACCCAGGAAGUGCACUCGAUACUGCGUGGCUUGAGUGUGGGAGAGGUUGGUGGAAUUCUCGGUGUAGAGGUGAAAUUCGUAGAUAUCGAGAGGAACACCGGCGGCGAAGGCGGCAUCCUGGACCGAGAUUGACACUGAUGAGCGAAAGCUAGGGGAGCAAACGGG
rnacentral:rRNA from 1 species